CCAAGAGAUAACUAUGCAUUAUUUAGUAUUUUAUUUUCAAGGUUUGCAGCAUUGAGAAGUUUGAUUUUGGCGGGAUGUAUGAUCACUACACAACAAAAUGCCAUAACAAACAGUGCAUUUCCCACAAGAGACAAACUGACGUCACAUCUGCACGAGAAUCACGGUCAACGCCCGUAUGUAAAACCUGCUGCGACGCUGAUCUUUGCAAUUCUAAAUGCUCAAAUACGUCACUAAAUAGCACUGACGUCAUCAUUGUCGGAUAAAGCCAGAUAUUGACAUGGAUUUUUUGGUAAUGGGCAAAAAUCUUUAUACCUAAAUAAAGAGUUAAAGUAGA